AUAUAUUAGAUAGAUAUUAGAUGACAUGAUCGAAUACUGAUGUAUGGCUUGAAGAUAAUUAAUUGUUAAGUUUUAAAGUGAAUUUUUUGUCUUUUAUUUGGUUAAGUUAUGUUUUUCUAUGUGUUCUCAUUACUUGCUCAUGCAUCUCACAUAGCCCAAAAAUCAUCCAUACAUACAUGUUGACUUUCAUCUACACCUUCCACCUUUCAACUACCAUUCAUAAAUAUACUACACUUUCCAACCUUCCACACCCUUUUGCAUUCUUAUCCUUGACCCAAGAGCUAAUAUCUUGAACCCACCAAUUCUCUUGGUUUAUGUGAAUGGCAUGCAUGCAUCUAAUGAGAACAUGUGAACUUAGUUGUAUUUUCACCACCUUUUGGACUAAGCUUAUGUGUGUGAGAAUCCCUUUAAUUUUAAUUAAGAGAAAGUGUGUCUUGUUCUCCAUUGUUCUUGUUCUUCUUCUCUAGUUUGGUUUGAUCUUGGGCUAGUGGUAUUCUUGAUCCACUAUUUGAAGUAGUGGGUUUCCAAUCUUCGGAUCUCGCUAUUUCGUUACAUGGUAUCAGAGCCUCGACGGAGGUGACGGUGCAUUGCAAGACUUUCCUUAGAGAAGAAGACGGUGUUGAAGAUGGAGGCAAGUGGUCGAGUUGUCGGACUCGGGGUGGAGAUUCUCAACCAAUCCAACUACAAAGUUUGGAAGUCGUGUUUGGAGUCGUACCUUAUCGGCGAAGAUCUUUGGGAUGUCGUCGGUGGUGGUUUUCGACGAGCUCCAGCGGAUACUCCUGAGAAUAGAGAGGCCUUGAAGAGAUGGAGGACUUUGAAUGCGAAGGCGGAGUUUGUCUUGAAGAGGUCCAUAUCUCAUGACUUGUUCGAGCAUAUUAUCGGGUGCAAGUCAGCGCGAGAAAUUUGGGAGACUCUAGAUGGGUUGAUGAAUAAAAAGAACAAUGCUCGGCUACAACUCCUUGAGAAUGAGUUAGCUAAUACCAUUCAAGGUGAUCUCUCUAUCUCCCAAUAUUUCUUAAAGGUCAAAAAUCUUUGUUCAGAAAUUUCGGCAUUGGAUUCGGAUGAGCCUAUUUCGGAGGCGCGGAUGAAACGUAACAUUAUCCGUGGUCUCAACAAGGAGUACCAUGCUUUUAUUACCUCUAUUCAGGGGUGGCAAAGACAACCUUCUUUGGUGGAGUUUGAGAACCUUCUUGCUUCCCAAGAGUUGCUCGCUCGACAAAUGGCCGGGUGUUCUAUUUCCGGGGGCAAUGGGGAGGUCUUGUUCGCCGGAAAUAAGAAAGGUCACAACCGAGAAGAGAAGAAGAAAGAUCAUAAGAAAGAUGGAGAGUCUACUUCCAAUGGUGAGAGGAAGUGGAAGAAAGUGAUCAAGUGUUAUCGAUGUGGCAAACUAGGCCAUAUCAAGAAGAACUGUCGAGUCAAGUUGAAGGAAGGAAAUGUUGCCGACAAAUGUACCGGCUCUCAUAAAGCAGAAGAUUGGGGAAAUUGCUUCAUGGCGGAGAAUUCUACUAUUGGAGCCUCGACUUCUAUUAAUUAUGAAGAAGAUUGGAUCGUGGACUCCGGAUGUGGUCAUCAUCUCACUGGCAACGACUCUAAGUUCUUGAGCCUUCAACGACAUGAAGGCAAUGAUGCUAUUAUUACGGCGGAUAACACCAUUCACUCGGUGGAGCAUGAAGGUCCGGUUACUAUUAAAGGCAGCGACAAUGGCAAUCCUAUCACUCUUAAUAGCGUCUAUCAUGUGCCGGGGAUGAAGAAGAACCUUUUCUCUGUAGCAAAUGCCGUAGACGCGGGACACUAUGUUUUGUUCGGGCCUAAAGACGUGAAGUUUUUAAAGAACAUCACCGACUUGCAAGCGGAGGUGGUUCACACCGGUGCAAGGGUAAAUGAUUUAUUUGUUUUAUCGGCUUCGAUUUCUUCUUCUUAUGUUGAUAAGAUGAAAACAAAUGAUGGGGCUGCCAUAUGGCAUGCAAGAUUGGGGCACCUUAGUAUGGAUAAACUCAAGGUUAUGGUGUCAAAAAAUUUGGUGAAUGGUUUGCCCAAUCUUGCUACCUUUGGUAGUAGUGAAUUAUGUGAAGGAUGUCAAUAUGGAAAGGCACAUCGCCUUCCAUUUGAUAAGUCCGUCACUAAAAGUAAAGCUCCAUUGGAUCUUGUCCAUAGUGACUUGAUGGGUCCUACUUCGACACCUUCUUAUUCGGGCUCUCGUUACAUGUUAUUAUUUGUUGACGAUUUCACAAGAUAUACUUGGGUGUAUUUUGUCAAGGAGAAGUCCGAGGUAUUUUCUAAGUUCAUAGAGUUCAAAGAGACCAUUGAAGGUGUGGUCAAUCGCAAGAUCAAAUGUUUGCGUACCGACAACGGUGGCGAGUUCACUUCAAAUGAGUUCUUCUCUUUUUGCCGCCAACAAGGAAUCAAACAGGAGCUUUCUUGUGCCUACACCCCUCAACAAAAUGGAGUCGCGGAGAGAAAAAUUCGGCAUCUUGUGGAGACAUGCAAGUCUUGGUUGCAUGCGAAGAAUUUACCCAAAGCCUUAUGGGCGGAGGGUAUGGCAUGUGCGGCAUAUGUGAUAAAUCGUGUGCCUUUAUGUCCAACCAACUUCAAGUCUCCUUAUGAGUUGAUGUGGGGUGAGAAACCUAAUGUUAAGCACUUUAAAGUUUUUGGCUCUACUUGUUAUGUUCAUGUUCCAGGUAACUUGAGAGGCAAGCUUGAUCCAAAAGCUAAGAAAUGCAUAUUCAUUGGCUAUGACGAGAGGAAGAAAGGAUGGAAAUGCAUGGAACCGGAGACCAAAAAAUUUGUGGUCUCAAGGGAUGUGGUGUUCGACGAGCUAUCUUCUUACUACUCUUCUCAAUCCACUUCUACAAUAGAGGCGAUGAGCCAUGCACAAGUAGAGAUGGUGCCUCAAGUAAGCGAAAGCAUGCAAGUUCCUUCUAGUGCUCCUACUUCCCCCAUUUCGGCUUCUAUUUUGGAGAGGGAGCAAAGUCCAAGGGGGAGCCAUGAUAAUGAAGAUCAUCAAGAAGAAAUACAAUUACUUCGACGUUCACAAAGAAAUAUCGUGAAGCCGGUUCGCUAUCGGGACGGGAACCUUGUGAGUAUGGUUUCUUGUUUUUUUGCCGGUCCUAUUGAUGAACUUGAACCUUCUAGUUUCAGCGAAGCACAUGGUGUGAAAGAAUGGGAUAAUGCUAUGGAUGAAGAAAUGAAGGCACUCAUCAAGAACGAGACGUGGGAUCUUGUUCCAAAAUCUGAAGAUGUGAAGCCAAUCACUUGCAAAUGGGUUUAUAAAGUGAAGCGCAACCCAAAUGGCAGCGUUGCUCGCUACAAAGCUCGACUUGUGGCGAGGGGUUUUUCACAAAAAUAUGGCGAAGAUUAUGAAGAAACCUUCAGCCCCGUUGCUAAAAUGACUUCCGUUCGUAUGGUGAUAUCCUUGGCGGCUAGUCUCGGUUGGAAGUUAUGGCAACUUGACGUGAAGAAUGCAUUCUUAUAUGGAGAGAUUGACAAAGACAUGUACAUGGAGCAACCGCCGGGCUAUGUUUCGGAAAUUCAUCUGGAUUAUAUUUGCAAGCUUAAGAAGGCACUUUAUGGGUUGAAGCAAGCGCCAAGGGCAUGGUAUGGUAAAAUUGCCGAAUAUUUACAAUUUUGUGGUUAUCUUGCUUCUAAUUCCGAUUCUAGCUUGUUUAUCAAGAAAGUUGGAAACUUGCAUAUUAUUGUUCUCUUGUAUGUGGAUGACAUGAUUGUCACCGGCAAUAGUGAUGGAGAAGUUGCAAGACUUCGAGCCGAGCUCUCUAUUCGGUUCGAAAUGAAGGACUUAGGUGAGCUUCACCAUUUUCUUGGAUUGGAGGUGGAGAAAGUGGCGAAUGGAAUUUUCUUGCAUCAAAAAGGCUAUGCUCAAAAAAUUGUUGGAAGGUUUGGUAUGAUAAGUGCAAAGCAGUGCUCUACUCCACUUGAUACUAAUAUUAAGUUACGACGAGAAGAAGGCAAACUUCUCCCGGAUCCUCAACCAUAUCGAGCACUUGUUGGAAGUCUUAUUUAUUUGACUAUUACAAGACCGGACAUUGCGUUUGCCGUCGGUCUUGUGAGUCGCUACAUGCAAUCUCCAAGGAAGCCUCACCUCGAAGCGGCAAAGCGAAUAUUAAAAUAUGUUAACUCUACUCUUGAUUUUGGCUUACUUUUCAGGAAUGGAGUUUCUUUUAUAUUGCAAGGUUAUGCGGAUGCGGACUUAGGAGGGGAUUUGGAUGAUCGACGAUCUACAUCGGGCUAUAUGUUUACAUGUGGCUCAGCGGCUAUCUCUUGGUGCAGCAAGAAACAAGAUUCGGUGUCGCUCUCUACCACGGAGGCCGAAUACAAGGCAUCCUCGUUAGCAGCUCAAGAAUGUGUUUGGUUGCGGCGGUUGGUCGAAGAUGUUCAUUCAUCAAUUUCUUCCCCGACUAUAAUUUUUGGUGAUAAUCAAAGCGCACUAAAGCUUGCAACCAAUCCAGUUUGUCAUGCGCGCUCAAAGCAUAUUGAGAUCGAACAUCAUUUUAUCCGUGAGAAAGUUCUUCAAAACAUCAUUCAUGUGGAAGAAGUUCAAAGUAAAGACAAUUGCGCGGAUAUCUUCACCAAGUCGCUUUCUAAAGGACCAUUUGAACUACUUCGCGGCAAGCUCGGACUUGUUUCUAAAAAUUCACUUUAAGGGGGAGUGUUAAGUUUUAAAGUGAAUUUUUUGUCUUUUAUUUGGUUAAGUUAUGUUUUUCUAUGUGUUCUCAUUACUUGCUCAUGCAUCUCACAUAGCCCAAAAAUCAUCCAUACAUACAUGUUGACUUUCAUCUACACCUUCCACCUUUCAACUACCAUUCAUAAAUAUACUACACUUUCCAACCUUCCACACCCUUUUGCAUUCUUAUCCUUGACCCAAGAGCUAAUAUCUUGAACCCACCAAUUCUCUUGGUUUAUGUGAAUGGCAUGCAUGCAUCUAAUGAGAACAUGUGAACUUAGUUGUAUUUUCACCACCUUUUGGACUAAGCUUAUGUGUGUGAGAAUCCCUUUAAUUUUAAUUAAGAGAAAGUGUGUCUUGUUCUCCAUUGUUCUUGUUCUUCUUCUCUAGUUUGGUUUGAUCUUGGAC
rnacentral:lncRNA from 1 species